rnacentral:misc_RNA from 1 species
AGAGUUACUACUCCAAACCCAUUGUGAACCUUACCUAUGUUCUGUUGCCUCGGCGGCGUGGUCAGCGCCCCCCUCUGAAAAGAGGACGAUGCCCUCCCGCCGGCAGCACCAAACUCUUUGAAUUUUACAGCGGAUUACAGUUCUGAUUUGAAAACAAAAAACAAGUUAA